CACGUAGUUAGCCGGCGCUUCUUUACCCACUACCCUCACCACGACCCACGUCGCGGCUUGACCACGGGCGAAAGAGGUUCACAACCCGAAGGCCUCCAUCCCUCACGCGGCGUCGCUGCAUCAGGCUUGCGCCCAUUGUGCAAUAUUCCCCACUGCUGCCCCCCGUAGGGGUCUGGGCCGUAUCUCAGUCCCAAUGUGACCGGUCACCCUCUCAGGCCGGCUACCCGUCAAAGCCUUGGUGGGCCAUCACCCCACCAACAAGCUGAUAGGCCGCGAGCCCAUCCCCCACCAGAAAAAAACCCUUUCCACCAGACCCCAUGCGAGGACCAGUGAAUACCCGGUAUUAGCAGCCCUUUCAGACCGUUAUCCCGAAGAAGGGGCAGGUUACUCACGUGUUACUCACCCGUUCGCCACUAAUCAACGGCGCAAGCGCCGCAUCAUCGUUCGACUUGCAUGUGUUAAGCACGCCGCCAGCGUUCGUCCUGAGCCAGGAGUCAAACUACU
rnacentral:rRNA from 1 species